AUGGACCACCAACAGUCCAGGUUUUCUCAGUAUCUCCAUUGGAAAAAAACAGGGAAGUACAUAAAUCCUGGACUGUUGGUGGUCCAUGAGGACU